rnacentral:tRNA from 1 species
GGGAGUUUAGCUCAGCGGGAGAGCACCUGCCUUACAAGCAGGGGGUCAGUGGUUCAAAUCCACUAACUCCCACCA